CUACAACCUGAAGAGUUUCUGGAUUGGGUUGCUGCUGUAGAAAAAAUAAUGGAAUUCAAAGGAGUUCUUGAUGAUCAAAAAGCUUCUUUGCUGGCAACAAGGUUUAGAUGACGACCCGCCGCUUGGUGGCAGCAAACAAAACAAACGAGACUAUGCCAAAGCAAGCCAAAAAUUAAUAAUUGGGAAAAGUUCUUGAAACAUAUGAUGGCAGCAUUUUUACCCCAUAAUUAUGUAAGGACGAUGUAUCAAUAACUUCAGAAUCUCAGGUAAGGGUCGAGAUCUGUGGAUGCUACGAAAUUUUAUAAAUUGGUAGCACGUGUGGACUUGGCCGAAUUUGAUGAUCAGUUAGUAUUAACGUCUAUUGGAGGGGAUGAGACAGCAAUUUCAAGACUCCUUGAAUUUUUUUUGACCCUGUGAAUGUGUCUGAAGCCCAUCAGCGGACUCUACACUUGGAGAAGACCUUAUCUAGGAGGACAUGGGGUGCUGGCAAAAUAAGCACUGGUGGUAGUCUUGGAACAAACCAAUCAGCCUCUUCGCGUAUGGUAAUUGCACUGACCACACAGAAUAAAAGGGUAACCAAUAUUUAGUCGAACAAGGAAGUAGCAUCAAGUUCCUAGGUAUGAUGUUAAGUGUGGAGAACUGGGUCACCGCAUGAUAGAUUGCAAGAAAGGUGGUAAAUACGGUAAGGGAUUGUUCAUUAAUCUUGGGAAACCAGCUGCUGAUAGCCUGGUAGAUGUCAAGUAAGGACCUAUUUAUGAUGUUGGGAAGGAGUAUGAAGAGAAGCAGGUUGCAGAUGACGAAGGUCCUUUGUUGGUGGUGAGGAGGGCAUGGGCAUGUUUGGCACCUCAUAAGGAUGAGGUGAUGACUGGUUAUGUCGCAAUAUUUUCCAGUCUACCUGUACUAUUGGUGGCAAGGUUUUCAAGCUUAACAUUGACUCAGGUAGCUGUGAAAAUUAGAUUUUCUGAAGAGGUUGUUAAAAAGUUAGGAAUGGAGACAGGGAAGCAUCCUAAUGCUUACAAAUUGGCUUGGCUCAAGAAAGGAAGUGAGGUAACUAUUUCUAAACGUUGCUUAGUAUCAUUUUCUAUUGGUGUAAAGUAUAAGGAUAAAAUUUGGUGUGACAUGAUAACUAUGGACGCAUGUCAUCUUUUAUUGGGUCAUUCGUGGAAAUAUGAUAGGGAUGUUAUACACGAUGGAAGACAGAAUACAUACAGUUUUGUAUUUGACAAAGGGAAGGUUGUCCUACUACCUAACAAAAAGGAAGAGCCCUAACACCUUUCAGGAAAGGGACAGAUUUUGUUGGCCAAAAUGGAGUUUAUGAAUGAAUUGCAGGACACUGGAGUGGUGUUUGUGUUGCUGGGAAAGGAGAGCAGUAAAAGGGGAAAAAUACCACUUCUCGUGAACAAAUUGCUAGAAGAAUUCUCCAAUGUAUUUCCAGAUAAACUACCUGAAGGUUUACCACCAUUGAGAGAUAUACAAUAUCAAACUGACUUGGUUCCAGGCUCUAACCUACCAAAUUGACCGCAUUAAUGUAUAAGCCCCAAAGAACAUGAGAAGCUUAGGCAUCAGGUAGAGACCUUAUUGUUGAAGGUCAUAUCAGAGGAAGUCUUAGUCCCUUUGUUGUGCCAGCAUUACUUACUCCAAAAAAAGACAGGUCCUGGAGAAUGUGUGUUGACAGUAGAGCUAUCAACAAGAUUACAAUCAGGUACAAAUUUCCCAUUCCUCGACUAGAUGACUUUUUAGUUAAACUAAGUGGUGCUACUGUGUUUUCCAAGUUAGAUUUGAAGAGUAGUUAUCAUCAGAUUCGUAUACAUCCACGAGAUGAACGGAUGACCUCUUUCAAAACUAAGGAAAGGUUGUAUGAGUGGCUAGUGAUGCCUUUGGGGCUAUCUAAUGCCCCUAACACUUUUAUGCGGGUGAUGAACCAGAUUUUUAGACCAUUCAUUGGUAAAUGUCUUAUCGUUUAUUUUGAUGACAUAUUGAUAUAUAGUGCUACUAUGGAGUUGCAUCCUCAGUAGUUGAGAGAAAUCUUGGAAGUACUGUGCAAGGAUAAGUUUUUUGUAGCCAUGACCAAGUGCUCUUUCAUGAAGGACUCCGUCUCUAGGCUAUGUAGUUUCCAAGGAUGGUCUAUCUAUAGAUGAAUCUAAAGUUGCAACUAUUCGGAACUAGCCAAUUCCUACUACUAUUCAGGAAAUACGAGGUACGUAGCUUCCAUUGGUUGGUAUCUUUUUACAGGCGUUUUAUUCAACACUUUAGUACUAUUACUGUACCACUCACGAAUUGUAUGAAAAGUGGAAAUUCAUGUGAAUAAAUGAAGC
rnacentral:lncRNA from 1 species